AUACGGAGGAUCCGAGCGUUAUCCGGAUUUAUUGGGUUUAAAGGGAGCGUAGGUGGACAGUUAAGUCAGUUGUGAAAGUUUGCGGCUCAACCGUAAAAUUGCAGUUGAUACUGGCUGUCUUGAGUACAGUAGAGGUGGGCGGAAUUCGUGGUGUAGCGGUGAAAUGCUUAGAUAUCACGAAGAACUCCGAUUGUGAAGGCAGCUCACUGGAAUGCAACUGACACUGAUGCGCGAAAGGGUGGGUAUCAAACAGGAUUAGAUACCCUGGUAGUCCACACAGUAAACGAUGAAUACUCGCUGUUUGCGAUAUACAGUAAGCGGCCAAGCGAAAGCAUUAAGUAUUCCACCUGGGGAGUACGCCGGCAACGGUGAAACUCAAAGGAAUUGACGGGG
rnacentral:rRNA from 1 species